UGGGGAAUAUUGCACAAUGGGCGCAAGCCUGAUGCAGCCAUGCCGCGUGUAUGAAGAAGGCCUUCGGGUUGUAAAGUACUUUCAGCGAGGAGGAAGGGUUCAGUGUUAAUAGCACUGUGCAUUGACCGUUACUCGCAGAAGAAGCACCGGCUAACUCCGUGCCAGCAGCCGCGGUAAUACGGAGGGUGCAAGCGUUAAUCGGAAUUACUGGGCGUAAAGCGCACGCAGGCGGUUUGUUAAGUCAGAUGUGAAAUCCCCGCGCUUAACGUGGGAACUGCAUUUGAAACUGGCAAGCUAGAGUCUUGUAGAGGGGGGUAGAAUUCCAGGUGUAGCGGUGAAAUGCGUAGAGAUCUGGAGGAAUACCUGUGGCGAAGGCGGCCCCCUGGACAAAGACUGACGCUCAGGUGCGAAAGCGUGGGGGAGCAAAACA
rnacentral:rRNA from 1 species